AUUGAACGCUGGCGGCAUGCUUUACACAUGCAAGUCGAGCGGUAACAGGCCUUCGGGUGCUGACGAGUGGCGAACGGGUGAGUAAUGCAUCGGAACGUACCCAGGGGUGGGGGAUAACGCAGCGAAAGCUGUGCUAAUACCGCAUGUGAUCUGAGGAUGAAAGCGGGGGACCGAGCAGCAAUGUUUGGCCUCGCGCCUUUGGAGCGGCCGAUGUCGGAUUAGCUAGUUGGUGGGGUAAAGGCCUACCAAGGCGACGAUCCGUAGCUGGUCUGAGAGGACGACCAGCCACACUGGGACUGAGACACGGCCCAGACUCCUACGGGAGGCAGCAGUGGGGAAUUUUGGACAAUGGGCGCAAGCCUGAUCCAGCAAUGCCGCGUGCGGGAAGAAGGCCUUCGGGUUGUAAACCGCUUUUGGCAGGAACGAAACGGUGUCCGCUAAUACCGGGCGCUAAUGACGGUACCUGCAGAAUAAGCACCGGCUAACUACGUG
rnacentral:rRNA from 1 species